AGGUGCUGGACUGUAGCUUAGGGAAGAGCAUCUGCUUUGCAUGCAGAAGGUUCUAGGUUCAACCCCUGGUAGGCUUG